GACGAACGCUGGCGGCGUGCCUAAUACAUGCAAGUUGAGCGCUGAAGGUUGGUACUUGUACCAACUGGAUGAGCAGCGAACGGGUGAGUAACGCGUGGGUAAUCUGCCUUUGAGCGGGGGACAACAUUUGGAAACGAAUGCUAAUACCGCAUAAAAACUUUAAACACAAGUUUUAAGUUUGAAAGAUGCAAUUGCAUCACUCAAAGAUGAUCCCGCGUUGUAUUAGCUAGUUGGUGAGGUAAAGGCUCACCAAGGCGACGAUACAUAGCCGACCUGAGAGGGUGAUCGGCCACAUUGGAACGGAGAAACGGCCCAGACUCCGAGGGGAGGAAGCAGUAGGGAAUCUUCCGCAAUGGGCGAAAGUCUGACGGAGCAACACCGCGGGAGUGAUGAAGGUUUUCGGAUCGUAAAACUCGGUUAGUAGGGAAGAACAUAGGUGAAAGUGAAAGGGCACAUCAGGACGGGAAAUAACCAGAAAAGGACGGCUAAAUAAGUG
rnacentral:rRNA from 1 species